AAUAAAAAUGUUGCUGCUUUGUCACAGAGCUUGAUGUAAGGAUGAAGUAAGGGCCUAUAUGUCAGGGGACAUUUCCAACAGCUGCCUGUGUGGGGAUGCAUUUAUUUUUUAUCACAGCACAGCUCCACCAGAGAAGCGCCAGGUGCCAAGCUCCCCAGCUGCCUCCUUUAGACCUUCCAGGCACACACUGCGCUUCGGACUCGGGGUCUGGGAAAGCCCCCCUGAACCAGGAGCAGCAGAAAGGCCACGAAAGGCAGCGCUCUCCCUCCUCGCACCACCGACACCCCGCUGCCCUCAGCGAGCCGAGCCCGGCCCCGCGCCGCCCCCUGCCCGCGGCCAAGCCUCAGCCGGGCGCCGCCGCCUCCAUGGGGGCUGCCUGAGGGCGGCGCACGCGCACUGGCGGCCCGCGGGCGGCUUCUGGAGGCUUCUGAGGGUGGCGGGCAGCGCGCUGAGGUGAGGGCAGCGCUCGGGCUUCGUGGCUGUGGGGACGGUGGCAGUGGCUCUGCCAGCUGGAGGGCACUGCCGUGACUUCUGUCUCCUGAAAUAUUUCGUUAGCUGCUCGCCUGUGGUGUGAAUUCUUCGAAGCGAUUGAAGAUCCGAAUUGCUUUUGAGUUACUAUGGAAGCAUGUGGGCCUUACAUAGUUGAUGAAAUAGAGUAUAAAAACCAGAAUGCAGAAAUAAAUCGGUUCUAUGAUAAAUCUUGUGAAAAUGCGGAUGAAGCAAAGCCAGUAACAUUAGAAGAAGGCCAGGAAUCAUCAGUAGAUCAGGAACAUACAAAGGCAAGGUCGUUCAUACUGCUAACAGAAAACAACACAUGUCAUGCUCUUGGGAUCCUGCGCUAUUAAAAGUGUGCUGAAACUGAAAUUCCCCCGGAACUGCAUGGUUUUACAGCCAGGGUGCUAGAAGCUGAAGAAGAAAAGAAAUGAUUUCAUUGAUAAUGAAAUUGAAUGGAUCCCGAAGCUUUUAUCCAGAAAUAAAGUGGUUUUAAAAUGAAGUGACUGUUACGGUGAUGGUAAAAAUAGCAGGUAUUGCUGACUAUAAAUGUGACUUUUCUAAAGAGAAGGUAAUUUUCAGUGCUUGUUCAGGAGACAAACUUUAUUUGGCUGACAUGGAGCUACAUCAGUACGUACUUACAGAAAAGUCAUCAUGUGUGAUUAAGGAUAAAGAGGCUGCUAUUAGCCUCACAAAAGAGAAAAAAGGAGCAUGGUGCAAGUUACUAAAGAAAAAGAAUCCUCAUGUGUCUUUUGAUUUCGAACACUGGGAAGAUUUUGAAGGGUCCUUUUCCAGUUGCCAUCCGUGCUCUGUCUGCUUGAUGUCCUGCACCAAGAUGUAGUUUGCUUUUCCCAGUUUAUUGACACUUAAGACUCAGUCACCAUUUUCAUCUCUACCCCCAGUCAGGUACCAAAUGGAACAUUUAUAGGAUGAUGUUACUUCUGUAAAGUCACAUUCGUGCUGAGGAUAAUUUCUGUUGCAAUUGCUUGGUGUUCUGUACCUUAGAUGGCAGUGGAGAAAACACAUACCUGAGAAAUUAAGCCUUUACUUAUGACCUUGCUUUAAAAAAAGAAUCACUCUCUUCUUUUCAGGCAGCAGAAACAACAAAAGAGGCAUUCUGGCAGUGCUGCAGCUGGUUCUGCUUUCCACUGUGGAAAUACUUGCAUAUCAGUUUGUCCUUGAGAGAUGAAUGAAGAGCUCCUUCUGAGACUAUGCAAGAUCACUUUAUGCACACAGUGAGCUUUGCUAAUGUUAUCUGUCUGGAAAAUUGCCUCCCUCCCUGUUUCCCCCAGCAUAUGACUUAAAUUGCAAUGGACCAUAUAACGAACUUUGUUGGGGUAGUUGCUUUAAGGUUUAGAGGUGUUCUAUUGAAUUUGGAAACGGUCUGUAGUAUACUUACUUGAUAUUUUCUGGGGCCAGCUGAAUUUAAAAUGAACAAAAAGUACAUAAAAUAUGAGUCCACUAAGUAUAAAUAAAACACAGUACAAAUAUGCCAGUUCAGGUGCACUGAUGAUUGGUAUCAGCACCAGUAAAAUGGAGACUAAUGUCACUAUGACUGGAAUGACAAUGGGUAUCUGCAAGAUAAAGAUAAAUAAAAAAUAAAUAAAAACACAAUUACUUAGCUAAUUGUUUUACUGUUCUUACAGAAGUUACAUAUGUGAAACAUAGCUUAAUCGUCUUAGGAUGUUUUUACUUUUAAAAUUUCUGGAAUUAGAUGGGACAAUUGAAAAAGUAGGAGGAAAUAGGUGGGAAAAAGUUUUUUCUGUUGAAUUGUUAAUAAAGGUCUCUGUCUUUAUUGCAAAUAGCAAUGUAGUAAUUCAUAUACAGCUUAAUGAAUUGGAGACCUGACUCAGUACAGUGAAGUUUGGGUCUAUUUCCAGGCACUCUUUCAGUGGUAGUCUGCUGACUGUAGUUCCCCAUCCCUGAAAAUCUGCCACAGCUUCUGCCCAUCAUCUAUGUGAGUAAAACAUUGCCUGGGCUUUUCUCAGUCUUUGAGCUUUGUCAUAGUGUAAAACUUGAACAACAACAACAACAACAAAAAGACACAAAUAAAUGGCUAGGUUUCAGGUAAAGUGGGUGGUGAGAAACCUCUACCUCAGGAUGUUCAAAUAUUCAGAGUUUCAAGAUGAGUUCAUGUUUUAGUAUUUACGGAAGUGGAGGAGAAGUCACACUGAAUGUUGAACUUACCCUAAUUGGUCUGUUGACUUCCUUUCUUGUAAACCUCAUAACAAUGAGUGCAAACACAGUUAAGCCGUAAAAUAUCCAGACUGCAAAACUAAAGUAGUUUAUAAGUGUGUUAAUGUCACCAGGGAUAAUAUAAAUAAUAGCAAUGGCACCCUAAAAAUGAAAACA